ensembl:snRNA U2 U2 spliceosomal RNA
AUUGCUUCUCGGCCUUCUGGCUAAGAUCAAGUGUAGUAUCUGUUUUGUUCAACUUCCUCUAGUCCAGUUCUUGAGUUACUAGAAAAGGAUUGAUGUAUUUACUAAUGAGCUAAAGAAAUAUCAUUCAAACUAUAUGCAGCUCAGUUUUGAGUUGGAGAUGUAGCAAUUAA